GAUGAAGAACGUAGCGAAAUGCGAUAAGUAAUGUGAAUUGCAGAAUUCAGUGAAUCAUCGAGUCUUUGAACGCACAUUGCGCCCCCUGGUAUUCCGGGGGGCAUGCCUGUCCGAGCGUCAUUGCUGCCCUCAAGCACGGCUUGUGUGUUGGGCCUCCGUCCUCCUCCCGGGGGACGGGCCCGAAAGGCAGCGGCGGCACCGCGUCCGGUCCUCGAGCGUAUGGGGCUUCGUCACCCGCUCUUGUAGGCCCGGCCGGCGCUUGCCGACACAUCAAUCUUUUUUCCAGGUUGACCUCGGCUCAGGUAGGGAUACCCGCUGAACUUAAGCAUAUCAAUAAGCGGAGGA
rnacentral:misc_RNA from 1 species